rnacentral:rRNA from 1 species
CACGGGGGGAGCAAGCGUUGUUCGGAAUCACUGGGCGUAAAGGGCGUGUAGGCGGUUUGGUAAGUGGAAUGUGAAAUCCCUCGGCUUACCCGAGGACCUGCAUCCCAUACUGCCAAGCUUGAGUACGGGAGAGGAUGAGGGAAUUCCUGGUGUAGCGGUGAAAUGCGUAGAUAUCAGGAGGAACACCAAUGGCGAAGGCAGCUCGCUGGGACGGUACUGACGCUGAGACGCGAAAGCGUGGGGAGCAAACAGG